UACGUAGGAUGCAAGCGUUGUCCGGAAUUAUUGGGCGUAAAGCGCGCGCAGGCGGUUCUUUAAGUCUGAUGUGAAAGCCCACGGCUCAACCGUGGAGGGUCAUUGGAAACUGGAGAACUUGAGUACAGAAGAGGAAAGCGGAAUUCCACGUGUAGCGGUGAAAUGCGUAGAGAUGUGGAGGAACACCAGUGGCGAAGGCGGCUUUCUGGUCUGUAACUGACGCUGAGGCGCGAAAGCGUGGGGAGCGAACAGG
rnacentral:rRNA from 1 species